rnacentral:rRNA from 1 species
ACGGCUCAGUAACACGUAGUCAAUCUACCCUAUGGACGGGAAUAACCACGGGAAACUGAGAAUAAUGCCCGAUAGAACAUUAUGCCUGGAAUGGUUUAUGUUUCAAAUGAUUUAUCGCCAUAGGAUGGGACUGCGGCCUAUCAGUUUGUUGGUGAGGUAAUGGCCCACCGAGACUAUUACAGGUACGGGCUCUGAGAGGAGUAGCCCGGAGAUGGGUACUGAGACACGGACCCAGGCCCUAUGGGGCGCAGCAGGCGAGAAAACUUUGCAAUGUGCGAAAGCACGACAAGGUUAAUCCGAGUGGUUUCUGCUAAAGAAACCUUUUGUCAGUCCUAGAAACACUAACGAAUAAGGGGUGGGCAAGUUCUGGUGUCAGCCGCCGCGGUAAAACCAGCACCUCAAGUGGUCAGGAUGAUUAUUGGGCCUAAAGCAUCCGUAGCCCGUUUUGUAAGUCUUCGGUUAAAUCCAUGCGCUUAACGUAUGGGCUGCCGGGAAUACUGCAUAACUAGGAAGUGGGAGAGGUAGACGGUACUCGGUAGGAAGGGGUAAAAUCCUUUGAUCUAUUGAUGACCACCUGUGGCGAAGGCGGUCUACCAGAACACGUUCGACGGUGAGGGAUGAAAGCUGGGGGAGCAAACCGGAUUAGAUACCCGGGUAGUCCCAGCUGUAAACGAUGCUAGCUAGGUGAUAGAGUGGCUUCGUGCCAUUCUAGUGCUGCAGGGAAGCCGUUAAGCUAGCCGCCUGGGGAGUACGGUCGCAAGGCUGAAACUUAAAGGAAUUGGCGGGGGAGCAC